rnacentral:rRNA from 1 species
GACGAACGCUGGCGGCGUGCCUAAUACAUGCAAGUCGAGCGGACUCAUCCUUCGGGAUGGGUUAGCGGCGGACGGGUGAGUAACACGUAGGCAACCUGCCUGCAAGACUGGGAUAACUAUCGGAAACGAUAGCUAAUACCGGAUACGAGGUUGGAUCGCAUGAUCCGAUCGGGAAAGAGGGUUUCGGCUCUCGCUUGCAGAUGGGCCUGCGGCGCAUUAGCUAGUUGGUGGGGUAACGGCUCACCAAGGCGACGAUGCGUAGCCGACCUGAGAGGGUGAUCGGCCACACUGGGACUGAGACACGGCCCAGACUCCUACGGGUGGCU